rnacentral:rRNA from 1 species
CACGUAGGGUGCGAGCGUUUGUCCGGAAUUAUUGGGCGUAAAGAGCUCGUAGGCGGUGUGUCGCGUCGGCCGUGAAAACUUGCAGCUUAACUGUGGGCGUGCGGUCGAUACGGGCAUCACUGGAGUUCGGCAGGGGAGACUGGAAUUCCUGGUGUAGCGGUGAAAUGCGCAGAUAUCAGGAGGAACACCGAUGGCGAAGGCAGGUCUCUGGGCCACUACUGACGCUGAGAAGCGAAAGCAUGGGGGAGCGAACAGG